UACGGGGGGGGCGAAGCGUUGUUCGGAAUUACUGGGCGUAAAGGGCUCGUAGGCGGCCAACUAAGUCAGACGUGAAAUCCCCUCGGCUUAACCGGGGAACUGCAUCUGAUACUGGAUGGCUUGAGAUUGGGAGAGGGAUGCGGAAUUCCAGGUGUAGCGGUGAAAUGCGUAGAUAUCUGGAGGAACACCGGUGGCGAAGGCGGCAUCCUGGACCAACACUGACGCUGAGGAGCGAAAGCCAGGGGAGCAAACGGGG
rnacentral:rRNA from 1 species